rnacentral:rRNA from 1 species
GAUGAACGCUGGCGGCGUGCCUAAUACAUGCAAGUCGAGCGAACAGACGAGGAGCUUGCUCCUCUGACGUUAGCGGCGGACGGGUGAGUAACACGUGGAUAACCUACCUAUAAGACUGGGAUAACUUCGGGAAACCGGAGCUAAUACCGGAUAAUCUAUUGAACCGCAUGGUUCAAUAGUGAAAGACGGUUUUGCUGUAACUUAUAGAUGGAUCCGCGCCGCAUUAGCUAGUUGGUAAGGUAACGGCUUACCAAGGCAACGAUGCGUAGCCGACCUGAGAGGGUGAUCGGCCACACUGGAACUGAGACACGGUCCAGACUCCUACGGGAGGCAGCAGUAGGGAAUCUUCCGCAAUGGGCGAAAGCCUGACGGAGCAACGCCGCGUGAGUGAUGAAGGUCUUCGGAUCGUAAAACUCUGUUAUUAGGGAAGAACAAAUGUGUAAGUAACUAUGCACGUCUUGACGGUACCUAAUCAGAAAGCCACGGCUAACUACGUG